UUUUUUUUUUCUUUUUAAUGAAUGGAGGGCGGCGGCGACAGCUGCAGCUGGCUCAGCUGCGUGGGUUGUACCCUCCUCCCAGCCUGCAAGAGGAGGCUCCCUUUAGCGAUUCUUAACAUAGUCCAUGGCCAUUACAACAUCAAAGAGUCCUGAGCCAAAUGCUCCUCGACAGGAAACUGGAAUGUCUCUGACCAAAGGUGCUGACUACGAAGGCAUCCCGAGCUUUUCCACCUGCCUGGCAGAAAAUCUCCAGGGGUCAUCUCUGCUGUGCUGCCCAGAUAAAGUACCAGGCUGGCCUUCCUGUGUGUUGCCACUGGCCAAGGGGUCAGCUC